GACGAACGCUGGCGGCGUGCUUAACACAUGCAAGUCGAACGGAAAGGCCCUGCUUUUGUGGGGUGCUCGAGUGGCGAACGGGUGAGUAACACGUGAGGAACCUGCCCUUGACUUUGGGAUAACUUCAGGAAACUGGGGCUAAUACCGGAUAGGAGCUCCUGCUGCAUGGUGGGGGUUGGAAAGUUUCGGCGGUUGGGGAUGGACUCGCGGCUUAUCAGCUUGUUGGUGGGGUAGUGGCUUACCAAGGCUUUGACGGGUAGCCGGCCUGAGAGGGUGACCGGCCACAUUGGGACUGAGAUACGGCCCAGACUCCUACGGGAGGCAGCAGUGGGGAAUAUUGCACAAUGGGCGGAAGCCUGAUGCAGCAACGCCGCGUGCGGGAUGACGGCCUUCGGGUUGUAAACCGCUUUCGCCUGUGACGAAGCGUGAGUGACGGUAAUGGGUAAAGAAGCACCGGCUAACUACGUG
rnacentral:rRNA from 1 species